GGGCCCGUAGCUCAGCGGUAGAGCACCUGACUUUUAAUCAGGGUGUCGUUGGUUCGACUCCAACCGGGCUCACCA
rnacentral:tRNA from 1 species